GAAGGUGCAGCUCAGGGGUAGAGCGCCUGCUUAGCAUGCGUGGGGUCGUGGGUUCAAUCCCCAGCACCUCCA
rnacentral:tRNA from 1 species